rnacentral:rRNA from 1 species
AGCGAACGCUGGCGGCAGGCUUAACACAUGCAAGUCGAGCGGGCAUCUUCGGAUGUCAGCGGCAGACGGGUGAGUAACACGUGGGAACGUACCCUUCGGUUCGGAACAACUCUGGGAAACUGGAGCUAAUACCGGAUACGCCCUUAUGGGGAAAGGUUUACUGCCGAAGGAUCGGCCCGCGUCUGAUUAGCUAGUUGGUGGGGUAACGGCCUACCAAGGCGACGAUCAGUAGCUGGUCUGAGAGGAUGAUCAGCCACACUGGGACUGAGACACGGCCCAGACUCCUACGGGAGGCAGCAGUGGGGAAUAUUGGACAAUGGGCGCAAGCCUGAUCCAGCCAUGCCGGGUGAGUGAUGAAGGCCUUAGGGUUGUAAAGCUCUUUUGUCCGGGACGAUAAUGACGGUACCGGAAGAAUAAGCCCCGGCUAACUUCGUG